UAAGGAAUCUUCGGCAAUGGACGGAAGUCUGACCGAGCAACGCCGCGUGAGUGAAGAAGGUUUUCGGAUCGUAAAACUCUGUUGGUAGAGAAGAACGUUGGUGAGAGUGGAAAGCUCAUCAAGUGACGGUAACUACCCAGAAAGGGACGGCUAACUACGUGCCAGCAGCCGCGGUAAUACGUAGGUGCCAGCAGCCGCGGUAAUACGUAGGUG
rnacentral:rRNA from 1 species